UUCUUGCACCUCAACUGUCUGCUUUGACUACUGCCUUGCUAUUUGAUGCUCGUACUUUCAGCUCCUGAAGCUUCCUCAUUGUGGGAAAAAUAGGGGCCAUGCUUUCUCCUAUGUUUCGAAGAGGGUGCAAUUGGUAAGAGGGUGACAUCAAAGGCUGCAAUCAGAUGUUUCGAAGCAGUUGUAGUUUUAUCAGUAGCCAGUGUUCUGCUCAUUUCAGUAGAGACAAAGGUCUCUUUGUUCAUGGGAUCCUUGUAAGAGGCCGACGACAAUCGAUGCUUUUCGGCAUCCUUUGUUCCAGAGUUGCUUUUACGUACCUCCAUCAGUACGCACCAAGGCUGCUAUUGCUAAGACUCCUCCUUCUG